rnacentral:tRNA from 1 species
GGGCGGAUAGCUCAGCUGGCUAGAGCGUCUCUUUGACGUAGAGAAGGUCGGGGAUUCGAAUUCCUCUUCGCCCACCA